AUGAAAGCCUUUGCCAGAAUCCAGGUUGUGCCCUUGACCUUCUCAGCCUGCAGAACUAGAUUGGUUCGGGGUGCUCAAAGGACCAAUCAGAGCCAUUGUGAUGCAGUGAGAUUUUGCUGGGACUUUGAGAGUGACAGUCCUCUUCUUCCAAAGACAGAGUUUUGCUCUGUCAGCCAGGAGUGCCGUGGCACGUUCUUGGUUCACUGCAACCUCUGCCCGCCGAGUUCAAGUGAUUCUCCUGCUUCAGCCUCCUGAGUACCUGGGACUACAGGCACACACUGCCACAACCGGCUAAUUUCUUUUGUGUUUUAGUAGAGAUGGGGUUUCACUGUGUUGCCCAGGCUGGUCAGAAACUGCUGAGCUCAGGCAUAGAAAAUAUUUGAUGUAAUUCAACCAGUUAUAAUAAAAAUUAUUGUCAAAACAUGAAUAGAGGUCAAAUUUUGGAAUGGAUUAAAUGUAUACACCAAAUUCUGCAAUGAUCUAAUUCUAAAUGUUGGAACAACAGAACAAUUCUCCUUAAAACGGAAAAAAAAUCAAUGCUUCUAUGCAACAAUAUACUUGUGGUCUUGUUCAAAAGAGAUAAAGGUGUGAGAAUACAAAAGAAAACAACAAACUUGUCAUGAUUAUGAAUAAUGUAAUUCUCUCCUUAGAUGAUUCCAUUUAAACUACAAAUAAAAUGUUAGAAUAAAUAAGAAAGUUUAUUAAUUUAUUUCAAUGUAAAAAUAUGCAAAAUUUAAUUACAUUUUUGUAUGCCAGAAGCAAUUAGAAAAUAAAUAUUUUGAAUAGGACUAUUUAUAAUAUAGACCAAAACUCUAGAAUACCCAGCAAUAUAAGUAACUAAUAUAUGUGAGACUCCUGGU
rnacentral:lncRNA from 1 species